rnacentral:snRNA from 1 species
AUACUUACCUGGUGUCGGGAAAUCCGUGAUCAGCCAGGCGGAGCCCCCCAGGGUGAGGCGCGGCUAUUGCACUUCGGUUGUGUUGACCCCUGCCACUUUCUCAAACUGAGAUAGAUGGGACAUGCAAUUUUUGGUAGUGGGGGAUUAGCGUACGCGCUAUCCCCCU